rnacentral:lncRNA from 1 species
AUGCUUCGCCAUCGCCUCAUAGCUUUGGUUCUGUCCGUCUUGGUGGCUGCUGGAAACACGCAGGCUCCUGUGGAUCAGAAGUGGCUCACACGCAUCGUAGAAGUCAUCAAGGCAGGGUAUCCAUUAGGAGACACCUUCAGUCUUGCUGUGAACAUCCCACAGAACCAAGAUCCAGACAGUCUUCAGCAGGUCCUUCAGGAUGACACAUCCGACAAAGUGGAACAAAGUGUUUCCCAGGGUCAAGUGUACCAAGGUGCACGAGUGGUGGCAGCAACACAGUCUGAGGCGGCAUCACGUGUCCUUGAAAAGAUUCAACCCUUUGUUAAAAGCAGUGAGGGAAACUUCCUCCUCCUCUACUCUGAACAGUCGCCAUGUGGGCCAACGUGUGCCAGCACCAACGAGAACAGUCUCGCCAGCAGUUUUGAUGACAUCGUGCAGAACUGGGAUGGUUAUGCGUUUGUGUUUUCUAAAGUGGUCAGCGAUGCUGCUGCUGACACAUCUCAGCUGAGUGAGUCCUUUAAACAACUGGGCAUUUCCACACUUGGGCUUGAUCACAUUUUUCGUUGUUACCAACCUGGGGACGGAGCUUUUCAAUGCACCAGCUGCUCCUCGGGUGAAGAUGUUACACCCGCAUGUGUUGCAAACACAAAUCAAGAAACAGCUGUUGAAUCAGGUGUGGGCAGUCAAUUAGACGACAAUGUUGCAGGCAUUGGAACAGCCACAAAAGAGCAGACAGCUGGCAAGGUUGCAAAAGGUACAGGACAACAGGGCAAAGGUAAAAAAGGGGGACAGGUUCAAAAAGGCAGCAAAAGUAAGAAAAAAGGGAAAGGUAGGAAGAAAGGCAAAGGUAAGAAGAAAGGCAAAGGUAAGAAAAAAGGGAGAGGUAGGAAAAAGGGGAAAGGUAAGAAAAAGGGUAAAGGUAAGAAAAAAGGUAAAGGUAGGAAAAAAGGUAAAGGUAGGAAAAAAGGUAAAGGUAGGAAAAAAGGCAAAGGCAAAAGAGGGUAAAGGUGGCAGGUAGGGGAUAAACACUGGAAUUAAACCUACGAUGUUGUCAAUUUCUCUUACCUUUGAGUCAAUACCAGCAUCUGUGCAUCACCUGAUAAUAGGCUAAGCUUUAUGUUUCAGUGACUUCCAUGAAAAGACCAAAACUAAAACUGAGAUGCUGCUGACAACCACACAGUUUAAACGUGGUUGGAUGUAGUGUCUGAAUAAAGCUUCACUGUCUUUAUGGGCCA